UAUUAAGCAUUGCCCUGGCCUAAGGCACCACAUGGGUCAUUUCUUCCAGGCUCCAACUUGCUUCUGCUUUGCCAUAUGGUAACACGCCAUAUUAUGGAAGAACCAUCAUUACUGCCAUCUGCAGGGGAAGCCUAAAGAGGUGAUUUGAUAGUGUGGUUUCGGAUUACAGCCUGGCUUCCUGGGGUGAUCCAUCACAAGAAUAAAGAGUAUUGAUAAGGCCAAUGGGUGCACUUCCAGAUAAAUGCCAGCCAACAUCCCUGUCUCUGGGGCCCUGGAGAGGCCUUCAACACACCUGGCCUCACUGCCCUGUGGCUUCAACAAAGAGGCUGAGCAUCUCCUAGAAACCUUGAGGUCCAUGGAUGACAUAGCGGAAUGAUGGAUUUCAGAAAAGGCAGGUGCUUCCCACUCUUUAAAUUUUUGUUUAUUCUUUCCAAGUUUCCCAUCAACAGCCCUGCAGUAAAAAUUCAGGGCUUCAGAGACAAACAUUUCAUGAGUACAGACUGUGAUGAGGAAAAGAAGCCAUUCCCUCUCUAUCAGGAUCCAGAGCACACUGCUGUUACGACUCCGGAACCGAUAAGGAAGCUAUGUGUGGAAGUAUGAGCCCGGGUCGCUUUCUGACCCUCUGUGACGGUCUAUUUCAGGCAGUUAUGGAUAGAUAACAUUACAGACACUGGUAAUUAAAACGACACUAAUUUUGU